UCAAUUCACAAUACAUCUUCGUGGCACCCGGAUGAAUGGAGUACCUCGAACUGUGAGCCUUCUUAGAAUCCGCCUCCGCAAGCCAUCCACAUCAGGAACACAUACACGACCCUGAAGUCGUAACACUCCAUCCUCGCCAAUAGUAACCUCAUUGUCACCUCCCUGAAGUACCAUCUCUAUGAGGGCUGUCAAAUGCGGAUCGUC
rnacentral:lncRNA from 1 species